GACGAACGCUGGCGGCGUGCUUAACACAUGCAAGUCGAACGGAAAGGCCUCUUUCGGGGGGUACUCGAGUGGCGAACGGGUGAGUAACACGUGAGUAACCUGCCCUUGACUUUGGGAUAACUUCAGGAAACUGGGGCUAAUACCGGAUAGGAGCUCCUGCUGCAUGGUGGGGGUUGGAAAGUUUCGGCGGUUGGGGAUGGACUCGCGGCUUAUCAGCUUGUUGGUGGGGUAGUGGCUUACCAAGGCUUUGACGGGUAGCCGGCCUGAGAGGGUGACCGGCCACAUUGGGACUGAGAUACGGCCCAGACUCCUACGGGAGGCAGCAGUGGGGUAUAUUGCACAAUGGGUGGAAGCCUGAUGCAGCAACGCCGUGUGCGGGAUGACGGCCUUCGGGUUGUAAACCGCUUUCGCUCAUGACGAAGCUUUGUGUGACGGUAGUGGGUAAAGAAGCACCGGCUAACUACGUG
rnacentral:rRNA from 1 species